UCACGCUGGGAGCUGUAGACCGGAGCUGUUCCUAUUCGGCCAUCUUGAAUUGUAGGCAUUUUUAAAAACAGACUCUGGAGAUGAAUCUUUUCUAGUUAUAUACUUUGUAUUACAUUUAUGCACUGUCUGCUGCCAAAGAUCUGAAACCAAUGAUCUCAUAUAUAUGGUACAGUUUUCUAGUUAUUUACAGUGGGAGAGUAAAUUAUCCAUGCUCAGAAGUAGUGUGUACUAGUCUCAGUAAGUCAAUGGGUUUCCCUGGAUCCAGGCUUGGAGAAAAUGUUUUCUCUUCUCUAUCUGCAAUUCUCCUGAACCAAUUCUGACGGAUAAUAUGACUGUGUCAACCACAAAAGAGGAAAAGAAUGGGCUUUAAAUCCCGCCUUUACAGCCAUCCAAGCUCCUUCUUCAAAGGAUGGAACUUUAAGGAUGGAACCAAUUGGCUACAAAUCAUUUUAGCUGAUGCACUGAGACAAUUCUGAAGCAAACUGUCUUAUCCUGGAUUUUGUCAGUAACUGGAGUUGAAGGACUUGAAGAUUCUCAAGGAUUGAUCCAGAAUAUGUUCCAGCAAAAACUACAGCAGAGUAACUUUGACAAGAAAAAUGUUCACUUGCUACCUAAGGAGAGUCUCUGUCUCCUGACCUCUGAAUUUCGAAAUCCUCAGCUCUGGCUGCCACGCAGUGGGAACCGAAUGAGAUGGCUGGGCAGGGUUCUGCAACACAGCAGAAACCCCAGGCUUCCCAAGACCCAGGAUCAGAACUGUAUAAUGUCACUUCUGCCUCACUUUGUUGGACAAAGUAUGUCACAAGAUCAUCUCAGUGGUGGUAAAAUUAUUAUUAUUAUUAUUUUAAGGCAGAGUCUCACUUUGUCACCCAGGCUGGAGUGCAGUGGUGUGAUC
rnacentral:lncRNA from 1 species